UACGUAGGGUCCGAGCGUUGUCCGGAAUUACUGGGCGUAAAGAGCUCGUAGGUGGUUUGUCGCGUUGUUCGUGAAAACUCACAGCUUAACUGUGGGCGUGCGGGCGAUACGGGCAGACUUGAGUACUGCAGGGGAGACUGGAAUUCCUGGUGUAGCGGUGGAAUGCGCAGAUAUCAGGAGGAACACCGGUGGCAAAGGCGGGUCUCUGGGCAGUAACUGACGCUGAGGAGCGAAAGCGUGGGGAGCGAACAGG
rnacentral:rRNA from 1 species